rnacentral:rRNA from 1 species
UACGAAGGGUGCAAGCGUUACUCGGAAUUACUGGGCGUAAAGCGUGCGUAGGUGGUUUGUUAAGUCUGAUGUGAAAGCCCUGGGCUCAACCUGGGAACGGCAUUGGAAACUGGCUUACUAGAGUGCGGUAGAGGGGUGUGGAAUUCCCGGUGUAGCAGUGAAAUGCGUAGAUAUCGGGAGGAAUAUCUGUGGCGAAGGCGACACCCUGGACCAGCACUGACACUGAGGCACGAAAGCGUGGGGAGCAAACAGG